UUCAGGAAAUUCCAAGCUGGGCAGGAGGAGGGGCUGGGCUGGGAGGGGGGCGCGCCCUGUCCAUCCCCCCACCCCUUCUGCGUGUCCUCUGUGCGCACCCGGUCCGGCCCAGGCCCGCCCCCACACUCAGCGCCCGGAGGCCUCUGCUUUUCCACCACCGCUUUCUAGUCCUUUAAAUCCUAGAGGCAAAACUUUUGGGGGAUAAGGAAGGCGGGGAGGGGCCUGGGCCUUAACCCUCUCUGCCCCAGAGGGACUGGGCUGGACUGGGCAGUGACUUCGCGGCCCGUUUGGGCUCCUACCAUGGCCCCCCGAGAGGGGCUGACACUUCGGUCCCCGGUGCAGGUGUGAUCCGCCCGGAGGAAAAAGGAAGAAGGAUCGGACUUGGGACUCGGAGGCAGAGGCGGGCUCCGAACCAAGGAGAGGGGCGUCCCAGUCGGAGCCCGAGAGCGCGCCUGCCCCACUCCGCGAGGGCCACGAGGCCUCUCCAAGUGUGGUGGGUCCCAGGCACUGUGCCGGCGUCCCUCCCCUCCAUGGACAAAGUCAUCCCGCCUUCAGGGAAGGGGCCUGGGAAUCUCUGUCGGGCAGAAGCCGGAGUUUCUCCGUCAAGUUUAGGAAACACUCGGAAGAGUCGGUGAAGCACUGUUGCCGGGCCUGUAGGGAGACUCGAAUAUUAGUAAUUAGUGGAAUCAGCAUGGCGUGGUGGUCGCGGGCCAACCUCCAUUGGGGUCUGCGACCUCGGGCCUCCGGGAGCCGCUGUUUCCCCACCUGUCAAAUGGAAGUAAUCCCUCCUUUGAACCGCUCGCUGCCUUAGGCCCAGGGUGGGAACGCGGCCUCGCUCGCUCACUCGCUCCCGGAGGAGGCAGCGCUGACCCGGCCCUACCCCGCAGAUGCCGGUGCUGAAGCAGCU